rnacentral:piRNA from 1 species
UGCUUAUGAUUAAAUUUGUUUCUCAAGGA